UUGAUUAACAAAAAAUCGGAAUACCUUGACGUCAUAAUGAUCCAUUACUCGUGUUCAAUAUUUCUUGUCGAUUUAUGGUAACUAUACGCGUUUUCUCGGAGUUUCGUGUUUAAAUUCAUUUAAUAUUAUUAGUCCCCCAUGAACACUUAAAAUGAAAUCGAUUUCACGAAGAACAAUAAUUGUAAUAAACCAAACCUAUCGUAUUUAAUUAAAUUUCCUGACGAUUAUAUUUGCAUUAUACGAGUAGGUACCUGGAUAUGAUUGCAGCUACUGCAGUUACCUAACUACCUACCUAGCCCUCCAGGUACGGUACACUAUGGAAAAUGC